rnacentral:rRNA from 1 species
CCCUUAGAUGUCCGGGGCUGCACGCGCGCUACACUGAAGGAAUCAGCGUGCUAAAACCAUUGUCGAAAGGCAUUGGUAAACCCAUUAAAAUCCUACGUGAUUGGGAUCGGGAAUUGCAAUUAUUUCCCUUGAACGAGGAAUUCCCAGUAAGUGUGGGUCAUAAGCUCGCGUUGAUUACGUCCCUGCCCUUUGUACACACCGCCCGUCGCUGCCCGGGACUGAGCCGUUUCGAGAAAAGCGGGGACUGCUGCUGUCGGGGCUUUCGGGCCUUGGCUUCGGUGGAAACCGCUUUAAUCGCAGUGGCUUGAACCAGGCAAAANUCGUAACA